rnacentral:lncRNA from 1 species
UACAGAGCUUUGGACUCGUUAGGCACAGAGAGUUUCAUGUAUGAUCCUGGCUUGCCCAGAAUGGUGUAUCACACACACACACGGACAAAGGCUGAGUCACAGAAUCACAGUAAAUUGCAAACGCCCUCCCAGCAGAAACAGAACGGGCUGUAAUCCGUUCCCUCUCUCUGCUGCUUUCUGUGCUGCUCAUUCCAGGGAACGUCUCCUCACGGCAGUGAGUCUGAGAUCUGAUUGAUUACUGAUCAAGAUCCUUGCAGAUGACAUGCAGUCUCAGCUCCUGGGCCGUUCAGCAUCACAUCGAAAGACGCCCUGGAACCACAGAAAGAAAGAAACGUUACAAACAGCCCUUUACACAAUGACAGGAGGAGAGAAAGAGAGAGCUAUUUAUGGACUAGACUUGGAUUUCCAUGAAAAAGCCCCAGUCCCUGUUCCCCCAGCUCACAAAGCACCUCCAUGAUUUAACAAGAUACAGUUUCACCAUCUGUGAGAACACAGGGAUCUUCCCAUGACCCCUAGAGUUCACAUGGAGAGAG